rnacentral:rRNA from 1 species
UGGGGAAUUUUGGACAAUGGGGGCAACCCUGAUCCAGCAAUGCCGCGUGAGUGAAGAAGGCCUUCGGGUUGUAAAGCUCUUUUACCAGGGACGAUAAUGACGGUACCUGGAGAAUAAGCCCCGGCAAACUUCGUGCCAGCAGCCGUGGUAAUACGUAGGGUGCAAGCGUUAAUCGGAAUUACUGGGCGUAAAGCGUGCGCAGGCGGUUGUGUAAGUCAGAUGUGAAAUCCCCGGGCUCAACCUGGGAAUUGCAUUUGAGACUGCACGGCUAGAGUGUGUCAGAGGGGGGUAGAAUUCCACGUGUAGCAGUGAAAUGCGUAGAUAUGUGGAGGAAUACCGAUGGCGAAGGCAGCCCCCUGGGAUAACACUGACGCUCAUGCACGAAAGCGUGGGGAGCAAACAGGAUUAGAUACCCACGUAGUCCCUG